GACGAACGCUGGCGGCGUGCUUAACACAUGCAAGUCGAACGGAAAGGCCCCGCUUUUGUGGGGUGCUCGAGUGGCGAACGGGUGAGUAACACGUGAGUAACCUGCCCUUGACUUUGGGAUAACUUCAGGAAACUGGGGCUAAUACCGGAUAGGAGCUCCUGCUGCAUGGUGGGGGUUGGAAAGUUUCGGCGGUUGGGGAUGGACUCGCGGCUUAUCAGCUUGUUGGUGGGGUAGUGGCUUACCAAGGCUUUGACGGGUAGCCGGCCUGAGAGGGUGACCGGCCACAUUGGGACUGAGAUACGGCCCAGACCCCUACGGGAGGCAGCAGUGGGGAAUAUUGCACAAUGGGCGGAAGCCUGAUGCAGCAACGCCGCGUGCGGGAUGACGGCCUUCGGGUUGUAAACCGCUUUCGCCUGUGACGAAGCGUGAGUGACGGUAAUGGGUAAAGAAGCACCGGCUAACUACGUG
rnacentral:rRNA from 1 species